CCUAGCCAUGUAGCAGUGUGUGUAAACAUCCUACACUCUCAGCUGUGACUUUGUGGUAGCUGGGAGAAGGUUGUUUACGCCUCCUGGCAUGGACUGG
ensembl:miRNA